UGGGGGAUAUUGCACAAUGGGCGAAAGCCUGAUGCAGCGACGCCGCGUGGGGGAUGAAGGCUUUCGGGUUGUAAACCUCUUUCGCUAUCGAACAAGGCCCGCUUAGGGUGGGUUGAGGGUAGGUGGAGAAGAAGCGCCGGCUAACUACGUGCCAGCAGCCGCGGUAAUACGUAGGGCGCGAGCGUUGUCCGGAAUUAUUGGGCGUAAAGGGCUUGUAGGCGGCUUGUUGCGCCUGCUGUGAAAACGCGGGGCUUAACUUCGCGCGUGCAGUGGGUACGGGCAGGCUUGAGUGUGGUAGGGGUGACUGGAAUUCCAGGUGUAGCGGUGGAAUGCGCAGAUAUCUGGAGGAACACCGAUGGCGAAGGCAGGUCUCUGGGCCAUUACUGACGCUGAGGAGCGAAAGCAUGGGUAGCGAACAGG
rnacentral:rRNA from 1 species